GCUUGUCUCAAAGAUUAAGCCAUGCAUGUCUUAGUGUAAAUAACUCUUAUGAAACUGCGAAUGGCUCAUUAAAUCAGUUAUCGUUUAUUUGAUGGUCCCUUACUACAUGGAUAACCGUAGUAAUUCUAGAGCUAAUACAUGCACAAAGGCCCGACUGUCGCAAGGCGGAAAGGAUGUAUUUAUUAGAUCCAACCAGCCCGGUUCGCCGGAGUCCCUGGUGAGUCAUAAUAACUGAGCGAAUCGCAUGGCCUUGUGCCGGCGAUGGUUCAUUCAAGUUUCUGCCCUAUCAGCUUU
rnacentral:rRNA from 1 species